CCAGAAGCCCCAGGCCUCUGGGUCUUCCUUCACACCUUCCUCCCAUUCCGGUCCUCAAUAGAGUCUGAGGGCCGGACGGCGGGCGGCUGGAGAUCGGCUCCCCGGCAGCGGCGGGUGCAGACAAAGGGGCGGCGGUGCGGGGCUCAGGCCGGGGUCGGGGGCGGGCGCGGGCGCGGGGCUCGCGGCGCGGGGCCGGGCCGGGGGCGGGCGCGGCGGCCGAGCGCGCGGGGAGGAGCCGCGGCCGCGUCUUCUCCUGGCGGCGCGCGCCUGCCCGGCCCCGCGGCGGCGGCGGCGGCGGCGGCAGCGCGUCACGCUCUCCCCCGCCCCGAGCCGAGGAGCCGGGAGGCGGCGGCCGCGCGGCUGCUGCUGCUGCUGCUGCUGCUGCUGCAGUGGGGCAGGUGGCGACGACUGGCGGCGACCGAGACGGCGGUGAGCGGGGCGAGGCGCGGGCCCUCUCCCCUUCCCCGGUGCCCUCCUCCCCUUCCCCUCGCGCCGGGCCGGGCCCGCUCCCGUCCUCCGGGCCGGGCAGUGAGGGGCCGGGCCCGGCGUCCGGGGGGGCCCCGAGUGCCCCUCGCGGGGCCGCUCCCGAGGGGAGAUCCGAGGAGUCCCGAGCGGGUGGCCCCGGAGGCCAGCGGGGGGCCCCGGGGUGCCCCCCACCGGAGCCGGAAAAGUGGCCGGCCCUGUCAGCGCCGAGCCCGGCCUUCCCUUCCUCCGUCCGCCUCAAGAUGGAGCUUGGAGUCCUUGCCCCUGCGCCGCCCCAGGCGCCGCUCCCUCCCGGGCACCCCGCUCCGCUCCCCUCGGCCCCGGGGGUGGGGGUGGGCGUUGGGGCGGCCCGGACCCCCCCCGGGAGGCCGAGCCCCGGGGGGACCUGUUGCCCCCGGGCGCUGCCGCCGGUCUCCCGAGCGUUCCUCGGGCCCUGCCACCGGGUGCCCGCGAGCCGGAAUGGAGGGCACCCUGGCCGUGGCCUCCGUGCGUGCGCCGGCCGGCGGGCUGGCCCGGCUGGCCUCGGGCCUGGCUGGCUAUGGCUUUUGUCCCCCCACCCCGCGUCCCCUAGGUGGGACUGAUUGUCGGAGAAGGUGGGUGACAAGAGGUGACCGGGAUUUCUGA
rnacentral:lncRNA from 1 species